UCCUCGUUAGUAUAGUGGUUAGUAUACCCGCCUGUCACGCGGGUGACCGGGUUCAAUUCCGCGGGGAG
rnacentral:tRNA from 1 species